AGAUGAGAUUAUUGGAUAACGUUUCUUUGAUCCCUUCUAGUUAUAUUUCAUCAUUAUGUAGUUAAAUCCAUCAUAAAAUUCGAAUUGAGGAUCAAAAAUUGGAAAAAUUGGGUGAAACUUUAUAGGCUAAACUAUUGAGUUUUGAGUUGGCAUUUGACCUCUGAUUUGGGAGAUUUUUAUAUGGUUUUACUCGUGAGAGUACGAGGGUUCUGAAAAUGUAAAAAUUAUUCGAUUUUGAGUUGUUGGAUUGAGGGGAACUUUGGUUGUUUUACCUAUUUUCGCGUCCUAGCUUUAAAUUUAAUAGUGGAAUCAGUUGUUUGUAGUGUUAUUUAUGAUAUGUAAUUGAAUUGAAUAGAUUUGGGCCAUUUGGUGUCGGAUACUCGUGGCGAAGGUGUGGUUCCUAGUUGAGUUUGAGCCAGUUCGAGGUAACUGGCUUGUCUAAGUUUGUGUGGGGGACCUUCUCCCCUUAGGACUUGUUUUUUGAUGAUUGAGUGCAUUGUACGUGAGGUGACGAUCACGUACUUGUGUUAAUUGUUGAACACCUAGUUUUUACUUAAAAUGAUCAAGUUGAUAUUCCUUUGUUACUUGCUUUGUUUACUUGUCAUAUAGUUGUGAUAUCCUAGAAAAGCAUGUUUAGCUGACUUAAUUGGUUUAGUUGCUUAAUUUAACUUGUUG
rnacentral:lncRNA from 1 species